AUUGAACGCUGGCGGCAUGCCUUACACAUGCAAGUCGAACGGUAACAGGUCUUCGGAUGCUGACGAGUGGCGAACGGGUGAGUAAUACAUCGGAACGUGCCCGAGAGUGGGGGAUAACGAGGCGAAAGCUUUGCUAAUACCGCCUACGAUCUCAGGAUGAAAGCAGGGGACCGCAAGGCCUUGCGCUCACGGAGCGGCCGAUGGCAGAUUAGGUAGUUGGUGGGAUAAAAGCUUACCAAGCCGACGAUCUGUAGCUGGUCUGAGAGGACGACCAGCCACACUGGGACUGAGACGCGGCCCAGACUCCUACGGGAGGCAGCAGUGGGGAAUUUUGGACAAUGGGCGCAAGCCUGAUCCAGCCAUGCCGCGUGCAGGAUGAAGGCCUUCGGGUUGUAAACUGCUUUUGUACGGAACGAAAAGACUCCUUCUAAUAAAGGGGGUCCAUGACGGUACCGUAAGAAUAAGCACCGGCUAACUACGUGCCAGCCGCCGCCAUAA
rnacentral:rRNA from 1 species